UACGUAGGGUCCAAGCGUUAUCCGGAAUCACUGGGCGUAAAGCGUGCGUAGGUGGCGCGUUAAGUGUGAUGUUAAAUCGUGGGGCUCAACCCUAUCGAUGCAUCGCAUACUGGCGUGCUAGAGGGAAGCAGAGGCAAGUGGAAUUUGUAGUGUAGCAGUGAAAUGCGUAGAUAUUACAAGGAACACCAAUGGCGAAGGCAGCUUGCUGGGCUUCUUCUGACACUGAGGCGCGACAGCGUGGGGAGCAAACAGG
rnacentral:rRNA from 1 species